UUUCUGAAAACAGAAGAGAUACAGUCUUCAUUUAAAAGUGAUCCAUGAAGUGACAUCAGCAAGAUAAGCAACUAAACUGCCUGGCUUUUGUCCCCACCCCAAAAGGGACUAAAACAAUGAUUAAACAGCUACAUUUUGGCUGGAAUAUCUGAAGAAUUGUGCUGGAGAGUACCAAGGAAACAGUGAAACUCUUGUGGAGCACAGAAGCCCAGGAUAGUCAAUAAAGACGGGAGUGAGACAUCCUGCCUUUGCCAUAUUAUCUCCUUCACUAGGAUCAGAUUGGAGCCAGAGAGUACUCUUUUUAUGGAUAAAGGAAUUGCUGAAAGAGUUGAAGAGGUGGAAAAAUAUACUAAAACCAGCGGUUUCUCAUUACCUCUACCCUAAUAUCGUCUUUCAAGCCACCAUCAACUUCCACAUGGACUAUUGCAAUAACCUUCUAAUAUGCUUGCCCCAAUCCAAACCUACCUCACAUUGGCCAAAAUCACAACUGGACUAGACAGAAUCAGGCCACUGGUAAAUUCUUAGAUGGAAAUUCCUACAGCUCCUCCUUUUAUCCUCUCUGUUCUAUCAUCAGGUCUUCUUGAAGUUUGGACUACAUCAAGCUCAGUUCUGCUAAGAGGUUCAGGCUGGACUACCUGCCUCCAGGACUUUUCAUGAUUUCCUCAAAUACUACCACUCUAGAGAAGACUUGUGUUCUUAAAAUGCUCAAAGUGAAAGUAUUCCCUUCAUCAUUCUAUACUCUGUAUACCUUACCUAUAUAUUUUCCAGGACUCAUGUGGUAAUAGUAAUUUAGUUAUUGAUUUCUUUAUUGCUUCUUCUCCCCACUAAAUAUAUGCUUUGUAAAUCAGGAACUUGAUCUUGUUUACUUCACCAUGCUCAGUCUCUAGGUAAUACCUGACAUUUUGUUAUAGCUAAAUGUUAAUAUUAUGAAUAAUUUACUUCACCUCCUUCAUUUGACAGUUAUGAGAAUUUUAAACGCAUUUCUUGUCUCCAAGUGGCUUUGCCCAGAGUAUUCAAUCUUUAUUUGUUAAACUGAGAAAAAUAAAUACAUGUCCUGGGUCUAUGAGAUUAUUCAUGCAAAAGUUAGAAAAAUUAAUGAUUUUUAAAGUAUUUCUUAAUAUUCUUUAUCUCAUCUUUUAGGCCUCUAGCCCAUAAUUAUACCAUAAGAUAUACAACUCCAGGAAUUUUAUUACUCUAGUUUCUCUUCUAUCAGAAACUAGACUGCUUUGAAUAAAAAUACCAACCAUUUUUUGGUCUAGUUAACACUAGAUAAAAUUUAAAUUUUCUUUUAAAAUUGGAAAUGAAAGCUAAUACAAAAUAGAGCUAUAUCUAUACUCCUCAUUUUCUUUGUUUGUAGUGCAAUGUUUUCAUGGUAUUUUUAAAUUUUAGAGAACAUCACUUUAACAAUAAAUGACAUAUUUAUUUCACCAUUAGACAAUUUUAUGAUACAUAAAUUACUAAUAGAAUUUAAGAUUGAAAUAAUUGUUUAAUCACUUGUGUAAUCUUUUACAACCUUUUUUUAGGUUACUAUAAUAAAUUACUGUAGUUCA
ensembl:lncRNA